AACAAAAUUACGAAUUUGUACGAAUCUUUCGACGAAAGGCAUUUAAAUUGUGAUCAACGCAAUAGAUUUGUCUAUAUUAGUAUAUAGAGUCUUUUAUUAUAAUAAAGUUAAUCCCUUUAUUUUAGUUUUUAGAUAUAUUUCAACUAGGAACUUUGCUGCUUUCACUUGGACGACUCGAAGGCAAUUGAACGGACUGUCGGCAUUUGAGCUGGAGGCCAGGGAUCGAUCGCAUGCUUUCGUCAGCGGCAAAAGCUGCCGAGGCAACAGGAGGCAACUGUAAAUUGGGAUUAGCCAAUGGGAAAAAUGUGGCCCGACGCCUGGAUAAAUGCAUUAAAGAGGCCGCCUGGGUCAACGAACCGCUCGCAGAGAGUGCAAAAUAAUUAGAUGCUUGCAAACAAAACAAACUUACAGAGAGUCAGGCUGAGCUGUCAGGCGACGUCAGCUUGUGAGAGCGGCUGUUAAUAAAGAGAGCGCUCUCUUUUGUGAGUCGAAUUUCCUUUCUACUAAGAUCACGCUCAAGGCAGAGCAGCUUAAAAGUAUUUGCAUCAUUUGUGCACUAAAAAUCACACGCAUUUCGUUAAAUAUAUAUUUUUUAUUUUUUAUUAAUA